AAAGAGUGUAGCUUUUUACUGUUCAUGUCCACAUUUGACCGUCUGUAUUAUUUAAAAAAAUUUUAUGAUUAGUAUUUUUAUUGUUACUAGAUGAUAAAACAUAAACAUUACUUCGUGUGUGAUUAUUUUUUAUAAUUUUUUUAAAUAAGACGCACGAACAAACAUUGGACAUAGAAAUCCACAAUUGUACUUAUA
rfam:Oryza glaberrima chromosome 5 Oglab05_0141_22, whole genome shotgun sequence.